CCCACAAACUGUGAGAUCGUGACCUGAGCUGAAGCCUGGUGCUUAACAGACUGAGCCACCCAGGCACUCCUGAUUUAUGUUUUUUAAAGCGCUAACUACUUCUCACUUUUCCCGUUACCCUGUGGCCAUUCUCCUUCCUGCCUUUUGUGCUUUAGUUCAUGUCAAUUUCUCUUUCUACAGUACCCGCCCCCUUCUCCAUCCCAUAGCAAUCACUCCUUCUUCUGAGCUCGUGGCAUUUGCUGGGAUCUUAAUCACACUCUGCCCCAUGACAUGGCACGCUAUUAUUAUCUCCUUCAUGUUAGUUAAUUAAUUCAACAAGCAUGCAUCGAACAGCUGCUACACGUCAGGCACUGUGCUAAGUCUUAGAGACACAGAGAUGAUUAGAGCAGGUUCUCUACUCCCAAGCAGCCUGGAGUCAGGGGUGGGGGGGACAGCUAUAUAAACAAAUCACUGGGGGCCUUGUGGUAGCCCAGUGAUAAGCAUGGCAGGGUUUUUAUUACAUCCAAGAUAAGGGGUCCCAAGCCAACGGGGGAGGGUAGACUGCCUGGGAUGGGGCGUGGGGUUAUGGGAGACUUCCUGGGUGGACAGAGGUUAGAACCCACUCUCCAAGGCUGACUGGGAGUGAGGGGUGAAGGGGUCGGGUGAGAGGGGUCAGGGUCAGUAAAGGCAUGGCAGCAGAAACAGAAAGGUGAGACACCACAAGCAGUUCAUUGUUGAUGGCAUUUAGUGGGAGGCUGAGAAGAGCAGGAGAGAAGGCCAGAAAAACAGGAGCAAAAUACAACACAAACCCAACAAUAUAACCUCCAGGAUGCCCAUCUUCUACUGGAAGGAAUUCCUGGAGCCAAACUGGGAAAAGAGUACCAGAGUGGGACACAGGAAGGCAGAGGUGGUCUUCAUUUCUUUCUUCACUGAAAUACCACACUGGGGAUGCCAUAGUGAGCAAAACUGACCAAAUCUCUUGCUGUCAAGAAACCUGUGGAAGAAUGGCUGGCGGCCAGCCCAAUAAUCCUGUGUGAUAAAUACUAGGUGCUGUGGGAGCACUUAGGAAAGAGCCGUGACCCAGCCUCAGGGAAGGCUUCCUAGAGGCAGUGUCCUCUGGUCAGUUGGGCUUCAUGGGGUUGAAAGGGUAGGGAGUGAGACAGGCGUGCGCGGAGAAGGAUUGCCGUGGGCUACCCUUUCCCCUGAGCCCCCCAGCCUCUAGGCCCAAGAAACCGAGCUGCAGGCCCAGGCUGGAGCAAGGGGGUGGAAGGUGGCAUGGAGAAGCCUGCGCAGAAAUCCUGGCCGUUCUGUGGGCUUCGGCCAUCUCCUGGAACACGGGCCUGUUUUGCAAACACAGCAAGUUAGGCCAACUAUGGUGAGGUUUGGCCCUGGCUCGGCCAACCCAGCUCAUUAAGCAAACAGCAAGAGAUUUUUUUCCUUUUUCUCCCUAAACUAAAUCUUCUCUGGGUGCAUAAUUUAUACAGCUCCAGCGAACUGCAGUCUGGCUUUCUUCCCAAGAAAGAAAAACAUCUCCUCAGAUUUUCCACACACCCUCCCCAUCCUGCUGGCCGAAUGCCAAGACUUCCCAGCAAGGCCGGGGCAGGGCUGCUCCGGGGAAGGGCAGGGAUGUGUUGCUGUUGCAGGGGCCGCAGGGCCGCCCUUUCAGGGGUAGCGGUAGUGGUGCAGGCAGGUGUUUUGUACAGGAGUGGGCGGUGGGCAACAGGUGUGCGGCCCGGGGUGGGCAGGAAGCUGUGCAGACAGCUGUGCUGCUGGGAACCACUCUAGGACCAGCAGACCCAGGAAUAGCUCAUCUGUGUUUACAAAGCACCUUCUCACCUCCUUUGAGUCACCCAACAAGUACACGAGGAGAGUAGGACACACAUAAUUACUAUCCCCAUGUAAUUGAUGAGUUGCUAACAGAAAGGACCGGGCAAUUUAAAAUUAGCCUGACUCAAGUUAGAAUCCCACCUCUGCCAUGGGGUGACCUCAGGCAGGUUGCAAAAAUUCUUGCAGCCUCAUCUAUUAGGGAUAAUGUUAGCACUUUCCCCCAAGGGCUUGUGCUGCGGGUUAAAUGAGAUCCCAUACGUGAGGAGCCCUCUCCAUGCCUGGUCCCUAGCAGAUGCUCCCUUGUUCCCAUAUUAAUGGCCGAAGAGGUUUCCCAACUCCUGUGGGCACUGCUGGGCCUGGGCCCAAGUGUUCUCCCAGCACAGCCCCUUCUGUUGCCGCAGUCAGCCGUGUGCCCACCGGGCCAGUCCGUCCCCACGCAGAGGCUGCACGCUCUGUGAGGCUGCCUGUUCAUCCCUGGCUCUGAGAUCUUGGCAGAUAGCUGAGCGGUCCUUAAGUCCAAAUGCCUGCCAUGCUCUGUGGGAGCAAGCAGCUCUAGAAACUGCAUAGCUGGUGAAACUUAAGCUUUGGAACAUGAACCCUGGCCCACAAUCCGCCUGUUUCCUCUUAUAGUCAAGGGCGAGCAUCCAAAUCCCCUGUCAUUUAUCAUUGUCACUACUGCUCAGAAAGGUCAGUGUGCAUUCUCGGUUGCCUCCAGCCCCUGGGCUCAGAGCAGUGAUUCCGACUUGGAGGCGCUGAGCCUCACAUGCAGGAGGCACUUGUGAAUGUUUGCAGAGGAGUCGUCAGGUCAUGCCCGUAUGCAGACAUGCCAUCGCAGCCUGUGUGAAAGCAGCAUUUCCUCAUCGGGGCCCGCUCCGUGGCUCCUGUGUUAUACACCCGGAGUGUCUCCUCAGCGAAUACUCUACAACUUUUGUUGACUAUUCCCUCUUCUCAGCACCCUCUUCCCCCAUGGCUGGUUCUUCUCAUUCAGAUCUUUGCCUAAGUGUGGCUUCCUCAGGGGCCUUGUCUGACUAUCCCAAAGAAAGGGACUCUCCUCUACCCCACCCAAGGCACUGUCUUUCUCAUCACUGUUCAUUAUUUUUUUCAUGGCACUCUUCACUGUCUGAAGUUAUUUAUUCAUUGCCUUUGUGACUAGAAUAGAAGGUCCAUGAGAGCAGGACAGAGUCUGGCUUGGUCUUGUGGUAUCCCCAGGGAUUGGCAGAUAGCAAGAGCCCAGUAGUUAUUGAAUGGGUAAAUGAAGCAAGCUUGAGAUCAUGGGCUCUAACGUCUUCAUUUUGCAGAAGAGAAAACCAAGGCCCAGAAGGGUUAAGAUGCUCAAUUUGCUUGUGUAAGACACCCCUGCUUUUUCUCCAGUAGCUUCUUCCUCAAUUCUCAAGGGUCUCUGGAACGAACAUAUGGUAAUGGUCUGCCUUUCUGUUUGGGACUCUUUCUUGUCUCUCAAGAGUGACAGAGCCAAAAAUAUCUGAUGUGUGCCCUUAUGAGCCAAAGGAUAGUUUGCUCCCUUGGGCUGAAAACGGAAAACACACAGAUGCACAUACAAAUACCCUGAAAAGAAAUUAAAAUGGGCUAACACGUGGGUAAGGAAUGUUCAUAUAAAACGAUGCCAUCCUGUUGGGUGUCAGCUAGCCAGGGAAACACCAUAACUGGGUCAUAGUUAUUGAUGUCAGAGGAGAAAUUCCCCCUCCAGAUUCUGAAGGAAGAAUCAGGGGGCACAGGAGGAGUCCGUGUGGAGUAGUGGGAUGAAUAUCCUCCUCACUGAGUAAUUUGAAGAUUAAGUCUGAAGAGGCGUGUAAAGAGUCCAGCAUAAUACCUGCUCAGUCAGGGGGUAGUUCUGACACCAUCCCCAAAGAUGGAUUAUUCUAGCUGAGGACUCACUUACUUCCAUGUCUCCCGGUCUCCCACUGAUUUUCUCAUAUUUGUCCCACGGGAGAUGACAGGAGAUGACUCACACCAAGGAGCAUAAUGAACCAGUGUUCUAUCUCUGGUAAAAGGUUAUGCAGAGCGGGUCUAUGCCUGGCAGAUGUGAUCACACGUAUUUUGGAAGCUGGGAGAACCGAAGAGCAAAGAGGUUACAAAAAGCAACACUCCGACAGGAGACCAAUUCAACAAGUCAAAGGAAGGACUGGGGCUGUGGUGGCCAAGUGAUGAUCAGACACACCCAACAACAGCACAGUAAGUCCCUUUGUUGUGAGGAAGCAGCAGCAGCAGCAAGAGAGCCAGAAUACAAGCCACUUUCUUUAAUAUUCCGAAGGCGUUCCCAGUGUCUCCCAGAGUCCUCAUUAAUUACCUGGAGAAUUACCAAGGAAUUCUCAGACGGGAUGAGAGCCUCCUUCCACUGCCUCUCACCACACCUCAUGACACCUAGAUGACAGAAGAGCUGCACUUGAUGAGAAGAGGAAACGGAGCCUGGGCACAGAAACAGAAGAGCUUUGGCCUGUGAGAUUUCUAAAUCACAGGCAUGGCUUGCCCUCUUGCAAGUAGAGGCAAAAGACGUCAGCCUUAUUGGCAGUCCCGGGCACGCAGCUUUGGGAUCGGAAUAAUAACGGUUUUCAAGGCAUGGGGAGUAGCCGAGGGUGGCCUUUUGGUGCAUGGAGGGGUGAGAGGCCAGGUCCAGGCUGGGCCAAGCACGGUGCCAGGGAAGGAGGGCUGUGAAUGCUGGUUGUUUAUUUUUUUAUUCCAUGCAAACUGCUCACUUGUUAGCAUCGGUACUGCGACAUAACAGUUUCCAGUAAAUACACUGAGCUGCACGGAGGUGGCAGAACAAGGGAGGCUCAGAUGUACAAGCAGAUGGUUCUUAUUACUUCCAGUCGUUCUUGUCGUAGUCCCACUGGGCUGGGAAGCCCUGAAUCGGGCUGACCUUCACGUCGAGCAUCCUCUGAGUCUGCUUGGGCACGCUCUCCCCUUAAAAGGUGUGCAGGAGGGACGCUACAGGCAGCGCUUCUCCUCAAGAAGCGGGACUCCCCUCAAGAACACGGCCGCGCCCACAGCCGCCUCGCGCGCCUGCGCACUCCCGUUCGCGUCCGCAAAGCUCGGGCUGAAAUUCAUGCGGCCCAGUUCCACAUUCUCAUCGAUGGAGAGGCUGCUCGAGGGGGUCUCCUUUUAUUUCAAGGCCUUCUGGCUGGCGGAGAGAUCUUGAUGUGGGCCGCGUUAGGCAAGGGAUAGUGGCGCUGGUGGACAUAACCGGGGAGAGCAUAGUCUUCACGCUUCACGCUUCCAGGUGCUCGCACACGCACGGAGGUGGGAAGAGCUCGCUUGCAGAUUAGAAUAAUUACUCUGGUCGCCAACAUUCUUGCCGCUGCCCACUCCCCACCUCCCAACCCCCCAGCCUCCAGCAAAGCCCACCUCCCUUACCCCCUGCGCAGCCCGAAGAACGUGGUUACUUUAGACCUGGAACCAGGAAGUGCUGGCCUUAAAGCUAGAGUAACAGGAUCACAGGGAAGCAUCUUACAAAUACAGAAUCCUAGCGUUUAAGUCAUGUUCCCUGGAGUUCUCAAGAUUCUAUGUGAACAUGUUUCAAGGACUGCUGUUUCCUGUGAUGUAUAAUGGGAUGUGAGGCUUGGUCCUUCAUCCCCCCAUUUUAGCAUCACGUCGUAUCUAUUUUAUACACUGGGAUGCUGAAUACUAUUUCUGUAAAGGGUUGUGUACUUAAAAGCUGUUCUUUUUUAGGGGCGCCUGGGUGGUUCAGUCAGUUGAGCAUCCGACUCUUGAUUUCCGCGGAGGUCAUGAUCCCAGGGUGGUGGGAUCCAGAUCUGCAUUGAGCUUGGCAUUGAGCGUGGAGACUGCUUAAGAUUCCUGCCUCCCCCUCCCCGCCCCCGCCCCCGCC